rnacentral:misc_RNA from 1 species
ACAAUGACCUCCGCCUCUGGCAACUGCUUGACGCAGUUGGACAGCUGGGGGAGGGAAACAUGGGCGCCUGGGGGAUAGUCACGAGAGUGGCAGGAACCUGGGAAGCACACAUUUAGACGGAGAGUGAUUGUGUGAUAAAUAUGUAAUGUAAUGGUGGGUGAGUAUAUUUGUAUGGAAACAUGACACAUGUAGCCAUCCCCAGGACAACACAACAUAACAUAACAUGAAA